rfam:Triticum aestivum genome assembly, contig: Triticum_aestivum_CS42_TGACv1_scaffold_320801_4BL
GUUAUACUCCCUCCGUCCAGAAAUACUUGUCGGAGGAAUGCCUAAAAAUGAAUGUAUCUAGAACUGAAAUACAUCUAGAUACAUCCAUUUCUCCGACGAGUAUUUCUGGACAAACGGAGUACAAA